rnacentral:rRNA from 1 species
GACGUAGGGCGCGAGCGUUGUCCGGAUUUAUUGGGCGUAAAGAGCUCGUAGGCGGCUUGUCGCGUCGUGUGUGAAAUCUCAGGGCUCAACUCUGACAUUGCAUACGAUACGGGCAGGCUUGAGUUCGGUAGGGGAGACUGGAAUUCCUGGUGUAGCGGUGAAAUGCGCAGAUAUCAGGAGGAACACCGGUGGCGAAGGCGGGUCUCUGGGCCGAUACUGACGCUGAGGAGCGAAAGCGUGGGGAGCGAACAGG